rnacentral:rRNA from 1 species
CUCGUACCUUUUGCAUCAUGGUCUAGCAAGUCUCAUCAAGCAAAACGCAUUUUAGUUUGAACCCCCGAAACUAAGUGAGCUACUUCGAGGCAGUCUUAAGGACAAACCCGUCUCUGUCGCAAAAGAGUGGGACGACCCCCAAGUAGAGGCAAUAAACCUAUCGCACUUAGAGAUAGCUGGUUAUUCAAGAAAAGAAUUUAAGUUCAACCUAAAGUUUUUUGAUUACACAAAAACACAACAAAACUUUAGAGCUACUCAAAUAAGGCACAGCUUAUUUGAAAUAGGAUUCAACCUACAACAUAGGGUAAUAACAACAAACAAGUAAUAAGUGGGCCUAAGAGCAGCCACCUACAAAAAGCGUUAAAGCUUAAUACUUCAGUUAUACUAAUAACUCCGCUAACCCCGAACCCCUCAUUAAUAUUGAAUAACUCCAUAAACUUAUGGAAGCUAUUAUGCUAGAACUAGUAACAAGAAAUAACUUUUCUCCUAAAUGUAAGCCUAAGCCACAAUAGACCUACUACCGGCAAUUACCGCACAUGAAUAUAUUACAGCAACCCAAACAAGAAAAUCCUGUAUCAUCACACGUUACCCUUACACCAGAACAUUUAAGGAAAGAUUAAAAGAAAGAGAAGGAACUCGGCAAACCAUAACCCCGCCUGUUUAC